rnacentral:rRNA from 1 species
CCCUUAGACGUUCUGGGCCGCACGCGCGCUACACUGACGAAGGCAACGAGCUUUCCUUUACCGAAAGGUACGGGUAAUCUUUUGAAACUUCGUCGUGCUGGGGAUAGAUCCUUGCAAUUAUUGAUCUUAAACGAGGAAUUCCUAGUAAGCGCAAGUCAUCAACUUGCGUUGAUUACGUCCCUGCCCUUUGUACACACCGCCCGUCGCUACUACCGAUUGAAUGGUUUAGUGAGGCCUUCGGAUCCGCGACUCGUUUUGUGGAGAAGUUGGACAAACUCGGUCAUUUAGAGGAAGUAAAAGUCGUAACA